UUGGAGGGCAAGUCUGGUGCCAGCAGCCGCGGUAAUUCCAGCUCCAAUAGCGUAUAUUAAAGUUGUUGCAGUUAAAAAGCUCGUAGUUGAAUUUCGGGGUUAGUAGGUUGGUCGUGCCUCAGGUAUGUACUGAUCUCACUGAUUCCUCCUUCCUGAUGAACCGUAAUGCCAUUAAUUUGGUGUUGCGGGGAAACUGGACUGUUACUUUGAAAAAAUUAGAGUGUUUAAAGCAGGCUAACGCUUGAAUACAUUAGCACGGAAUAAUGAAAUAGGACGUUCGAUCCUAUUUUGUUGGUUUCUAGGAUUGACGUAAUGAUUAAUAGGGAUAGUUGGGGGCAUUAGUAUUCAAUUGUCAGAGGUGAAAUUCUUGGAUUUAUUGAAGACUAACUACUGCGAAAGCAUUUGCCAAGGAUGUUUUCAUUAAUCAAGAACGAAAGUUAGGGGAUCGAAGACGAUCAGAUACCGUCGUAGUCUUAACCAUAAACUAUGCCGACUAGGGAUCGGAUGAUGUUAAUUUUUUAAUGACUCAUUCGGCGCCUUACGGGAAA
rnacentral:rRNA from 1 species